UGGGGAAUUUUCCGCAAUGGGCGAAAGCCUGACGGAGCAAUACCGCGUGAGGGAGGAAGGCCCUUGGGUUGUAAACCUCUUUUCUCAAGGAAGAACACAAUGACGGUACUUGAGGAAUCAGCAUCGGCUAACUCCGUGCCAGCAGCCGCGGUAAUACGGAGGAUGCAAGCGUUAUCCGGAAUGAUUGGGCGUAAAGCGUCCGCAGGUGGCGAUUCAAGUCUGCUGUCAAAGGUCCUGGCUCAACUGGGAGAAGGCAGUGGAAACUGAAGAGCUAGAGUGCGGUAGGGGUAGAGGGAAUUCCCGGUGUAGCGGUGAAAUGCGUAGAGAUCGGGAAGAACACCAGUGGCGAAAGCGCUCUACUAGGCCUGCACUGACACUCAGGGACGAAAGCUAGGGGAGC
rnacentral:rRNA from 1 species